AGAGUUUGAUCAUGGCUCAGAACGAACGCUGGCGGCGUGGAUAAGACAUGCAAGUCGAACGGGACAUUCACUGCAGCAAUGUAGUGGAUGUUCAGUGGCGAAAGGGUGCGUAACACGUGGGUAAUUUGCCGUGAAGUUGGGGAUAACUCGCUGAAAGGCGAGCUAAUACCGGAUGUGAUUGUUGGAGGGCAUCUUUUGACAAUCGAAGUUGGGGACCGCAAGGCCUGACGCUUCACGAUAAGCCCGCGGCCUAUCAGCUAGUUGGCGAGGUAACGGCUCACCAAGGCGAAGGCGGGUAGCUGGUCUGAGAGGACGACCAGCCACACUGGAACUGAGACACGGUCCAGACACCUACGGGUGGCAGCAGUCGAGAAUUUUUCACAAUGGGGGAAACCCUGAUGGAGCGACGCCGCGUGGGGGAUGAAGGGCUUCGGCUCGUAAACCCCUGUCAUUUGCGAACAAUGCUCACGACCUAACACGUUGUGAGUUGCUUGUAGCGAAAGAGGAAGGGACGGCUAACUCUGUGCCAGCAGCCGCGGUAAUACAGAGGGCCCAAGCGUUGUUCGGAUUCACUGGGCGUAAAGGGUGCGUAGGUGGUCGGGUAAGUCUGAUGUGAAAUCUCCGAGCUCAACUCGGAAAUGGCAUUGGAUACUAUUCGGCUAGAGGAUUGGAGGGGGGACUGGAAUUCUCGGUGUAGCAGUGAAAUGCGUGGAUAUCGAGAGGAA
rnacentral:rRNA from 1 species